rnacentral:rRNA from 1 species
UCGCUAGUAAUCGCGGAUCAGCACGCCGCGGUGAAUACGUUCCUGGGCCUUGUACACACCGCCCGUCACACCAUGGAAGUCUGCAAUGCCCGAAGCCGGUGGCCUAACCACUUAUGUGGAAGGAGCCGUCUAAGGCAGGGCAGAUGACUGGGGUGAAGUCGUAACAAGGUAUC